ensembl:lncRNA
GACUACUCAGAAUGUUCAUUUGGAGGCUUUCACACAGCUGUUUUCUUUACGAACUUUCUGGGAUAGAUAUAAAUUUUCCCGUUCUUUGAUCAAUUUCAUCUAAAGAAUUACAUUUUCACCAUUCUCUCCUCUUUAUCUAUAACUGCAAGGCUGUGAGCAAGAAUUGACUGUAUUUCAUGGUUUCCAGAGAGGAUCAAGCAUAGACUGCAAUUGAUGGAAAAUGUAUGUUAAGCCUCAUCAUCAGACCUCUAAAGGAGAUUCCAUGUCCACUCCAGCUAAAUAAACAAACUGCUUUUGUAAAGAAUCUUUUAUAUGGUACUUGGUGGAGCAAUAGAAGUCACCAUCCUCCAUGAACGCAUGAGUAUAAAUGAUGAACCUACUUGUGAUGAUGGACAGUGAACGCAGUUAGAAUAAGCAAGACUUUCAUAGGUUCCAACAAUGUACAUCUGUGCAUUAAUGUCAGAAGGAGCUGAAAGGAGCAAUUCAUUGCAAUAUACAACAUGCAGUUUUGAUACACGAACAUAGUCUAUAGAAGUGUCUUCAGCUCUUUCAAAAUGUAUUUUUUUUUCUCUAUCUACUGUGUCUCAUUACUUCUCCAACUUCUCUGUGAGAGAGCUCAGAAUAAGAAGAAAAUACUUUUAAGUAUGGCAAAUUCAGGUAAUACUGUGAUUUCUCUGGGGGUUGACUAUGAUCAGAUGCCAGAAAAUAUACCAAAUGUAUUUUUAAGGAAGAAGUAGGAAAUACCCCUGCCAAAUUUAAGGAUGACAUCAAACCAGUGCCAUACAGAAGGUCCUGAACAGACUGAAUGAAUGAACCUUGUGAAACCGAGCAAUUUCAAAUGCCAAGUACUCGAGGGAAGGAGAAGCCCCUGCAAUGGUAUGGGCUGGGGACUAAUAUAUGUGGACUGGCCCUGUCAAGUUAGCUCUGGGGCCUAGUGGCAACAAGUUACUCCUCAGCUAGCAAAAGUGGCCAGUAUCUCCCUGGGCUAUGUGAGCAGAAUGGGCAGAUUUUUUUAUUUUCUCUUCUUCUUUUUCUCUAAUAUACUGACAAAUUUUACCUAUGUUAAGAUUAUCACCUCCUCUUUUCUGCCGAAUAGAUCACAAGAAAUGCUUAGAUGUGAGAAUUUAUAUCCAUGUUUUUGUGUUGUUCCAUUUUCUCUAUAUGUCUUGACUUCCAUUUGUUGCCCACUGACAUCCUGUAAAAUUAAAAAAUGUGGAAGACUGUUUUUUGAUCAU